ACACGAUUCACCAUUAUGAUAUGUAUUCUCGAGUGUACUUUUGACAAUUACACAUGUGUAGUGACCACUAAUUCUAAUCGAGGAGGCAAGAAGCAAAGUUGUUCUAAUAAGGACGUUGACGAAGUAUCAGACGAUUUCAUGACGAUUCCAUGAAAAGAUGACGCAACAAAUGGAUGUAAAUGAAAGUCUAAUCGAUGCUGUGCUUUAAUUGAUGCUAUGUAAACGACACGGUCGCAGACACUAAAGACACAUGUGUGGAACGGAAGACUUCCUAUGUGUCCAUUAAAAGCGAAAACUAUCUUGUAACAUGCAUACAAUGCCUUUUUAGAUGACUUUAGAUGAUUUUGAUGAUUACUGACUGAAAUGUAUUUCUGUGUAUACGUGUCUUAAAAAUCAAUUAGAGUUAAGCAGGAGGUAGAUUUGAAUGAAAUGUGUAAUUUAAAGUAAAUAAUAAUUAGAAUAACAGCUAAUUGUUGAUUAAUUAUAAUAUUGAAGUAGACGUAACAUAUCACAUAUUUUUCAUCCUGACAACGAAUACAACUUGUCAUCGUUUCUUAAUAAUUUUACGAUACGCAUUGAAUGAUAAGUUAUUGUCUUGAUUAAUCAUUUAUGAAAAAUACUUUAGUUUUAUCCUGCUUGACUCUAUGGAUUUCGGAAAAUCUCAAAAGUAAAGUCUGCGUAAGUCUAUCCUUUUUAAAGAUAAAAUAUGCUGUCAGUAACAGGUAAAUUAUUUAGACACUCUUCUUUGCUUCUGUCCUCCUUAGUCAGCUAGAUUUAAGCACAUUUAGGACACUACCACAUCCAAGUGUCAUAUUGUAUUUCAGGUAAAUAAAUUACUAGGUAAUUAUCAACGUAAGAAAACCACCGUAAAAUGUGUGCCGAUAUUAAAUUAUUUUUGUUCGCCGCUCGCUAUCAGUAAGUCUUUCACUUUACGCUACUACAAUGCACGAGAGAGAAUGCAAACGGUAAAAUGUCACGCGGUACAUCGAUACAAUAGCUCACUUAUAGAACCUGAAGCGUAAAAGCUACCAUGAACGGACGGCCUUAUAAAUCAGAUCGAAAUAAUUGAACUGCGCUUCGAUUAUAUUGCAUUGAACCCAAAAAAGUCGAUACACAUAAACACAGAAUAUUGAUUUUUGAUAAAUAAAUGAAAAGUAUCUGAUUAUAACAGGUUCAAGUAGAGUGAUGGAGACUGUGUUGAAAAGAAUCAGAGUCAAUGAUUUUCUAAAGUAAUAAUAUUAUAAAUAAACUGGAUAAAGUAAAUAUUUUUUAUAAAAUAAAUAUCUGUAUUUAUUUGCUAAUAAUUCAAGACUAUUGCGCGAUACAUUGUUAUCGCCAAAUUAUUGAUAAUCAUCGUCGAUUCGUAUAAUGGAACGACAAUAAAUCCGAGUUUAUCCAUCUAAUCAGGAAAAACAAUAAGCUUAUUAAUAAGUUUCGUGCACGCUUGUUGUCUGGAUGGCGUGUCUUAUUAUUGAUUUAUAAUAAUAUAUUGUUCUUAUGAAAUUGACAUAACUCAGUAAUAUAAUCUUCAAUUUGAUUGCGUGUUGCUACAUAUAAUAACGAGCUUUUAACAACUGUUAUACAUAUAUCGCUUAAGAAUGAAAACGCGGAUAAAGAAGAUAAAACAUUCAUAAUUAUCAUGCUCACAUUCUGGAUAAUACACAAAGUAUACACUGAAUAUGCGGAAGGCAAAAUACUUUGCCAUGAUGAACUUGUAUGUCAGUUUCGUCUAGCUUAUAAUGAAUUCUGAGAUGCAUCGCUGCUAAGUUUUGUUAUUAUUCUCUCUGACGUUACAUAUUUGAGUUUGGAUAUCAAAUUUCUAAGAAAGAAUAUUCGGUUGACGUCAAAAAUUAUUGCAGACUCGGGUCUGGUAGGUUAUCACAAAAACAUAAAUAAGAAAAUUCACUGUAUCGCUUAUUCCUUCGGUCUAUUUGCAUUACAAGGAUAACAAGCUAUGCCAUAAAUUAUUACUGAUGGAUUUUAUGUCGCAGACAUAAUAAGACAAUAUGAUGACAUCGAACGCCAUCUUUACACGUUGAUUGACUCAUUAUCUCCGUUAAAUAUUACUUGUGAACCUGUUACGAGUAAAAAUUACGUUCAAGAAAGACGCUGUCUGCUUGUCGCUGUCAAUAUUACCAUUCAUUAUCAAGCAUUCCGCAUAUCUGCUUUUCUCAUAAAAAAAUUGGUGCAGAAAAAAAUUAUCUUUUCGAUAGCCUUCGAUCCUUCGAUCUAUGAAACUCUCUUGUUUUCCGAGCGUUUCUUAGAAAUCUUGACUCUACUGAAUAAUGUUAUUCUAAUUUCUAAUAAAAGAGCUUCUAACGUCCACUGAGGAAGAAAGAUCAACAAGAAUUAAUUAAUCUAAGAAUAAAAUAAUCUGCGAAAUUUUACUGCUGCAUUUUUAUUAAAUUCCUGUUAUAACAUUCAUAUUAUAUUAAUAUAUAAAUAUAUAAUAAAUAAUCAAAACUUCAACAUUCGUGAAAACCAAAAAAAUAUCAUUUAAGUAUCUUUAAUAUGUAAUUAAUUAAAUUUGAAAAAACUUAAAAUAGAAAUUUCUAAGUAGAUAUAAUUUAAUCUGCCAUUCGUUUGCAAAAGGAAGAGAUAUGUCCAGAAUCUCAUAUUUUCAUAUCAUGUUCAUUUCUCCACGUUUCUGCGGAAAGAGAAGUCAAGCCAUUUUAUUCAUACACGAAGAUUGCAUUAUCGCGGCAUACGGAUGGGUCUAUCAUACUUUUGACAUUCGCUUCUCGUACAGACAGAUAUAAAAGCGUCGUUAUUGUCGACUGAUUAUUCUUCAGUCAUGUUGCGAAAUCUUUUGUAGCUCGUUAUCACUAUUGACCAUUUUGUUGGACGUAUCGCGUUAAUUUCAACUAUAUUCAACAUAUGCAUCUGCCUCCAGAUGUUUGCGCACAAACAACUCGUUAACACUAACAAUUAUCAGCUUUCUCUAAAAUAACCGGUAUUGGAGAAACAUUAGGUCGUUGUCCGCUGUAAACCAUUUCGAUUUAUCGGCCAUCCAGUAUCACUAAAGUAAAAAAAGAAAUAUGCAAAAGUGCCGAAUGAAAAAAAACUGGUUUUCGUGAAAAAAGUCGGUUUCUUUCCAUGACAUGUAGUGUUAGUCAAGAGCAUAGGGACAAACAGAAUGACACAUCGCGUGUGACCUCAUUUAACAUUUAAAUCUCACAGCUUGUAAUGGUAAUUAAUACGUUCCACGAUACAUUCCGUAAUUAUUAUGUCAAGUGAUGCGGUAACAAUAAUAACAACAUUCAGAUGAUAGUCACGUGCUCGAACUGAACUCCAAAAUUGUCAUAGGUCAUCAGGGAGAUCUAAAUACACUAUGAGACUACUUGAAAUUUGCAUCUCGCGUUUAAUUUCUUAAUGUGAAACGAAAAUAACGAGUGAGCAAAAACUUUAAAUUACAUUUGAAAUAUCUUAUUUUCUAGAAAUUUUUAGAAUGAUCUUUCGUGAUUUACUUGUCAAGGAAAUACAAAUAGUGACAUCCAACUAAAUGUGCAGACUCGUGAGAAUAAUUGGACACUUGCAACGAACGCUUUCAACUUGAAGGAAAUGUCCAAACAUGUCAAGAUCUUUUUAAAGAAGGCCACAUGAACUGAAUCCCCUUAGGAUCAGAGUUAGACUGAUCUAGACAGAAACUGAUUUCAGUUAAAAGGGAUAUGUUAAACCGUAAAAUAUAAUCGUUAAUCGCAAUGAUUAUCUCUGUCGCUCUUCGUUUAUUAUUCUUUGAAAUUAUUACAUAGAUUAACAAUUUCUGAGCGAUAAUCAUCUUUUAAAUAACGAAUAAAUAAAUGAAUAAUACUGUAUGUAAGGAAGCUGCAAAGUCUAAAUAGUCUAAACUCAAGAAUAUGAAUUAGUCCGUUUCUAUACUUUUUUUUUAUUAUUACUUAUUUAAUCAAUUUGAGACCUCGAUAUGCUAGAAAAGAUAUCUAUAAUUUUUGUGUAUCUUGUCUAAUAUAAACUUUAAAUUGUGAAAUAGGAGAGAAUUAUUAUUAUUAAGAAUUAGAAAUCUUAAUGAAACUGUUAAUAAACUCUGUAAACCUCACCGUAAGCAUUCUCGACGAAUGCUGAAAGACGUAGUUCAGAAUGGGACACGGAUCAACGGUCAUCAUGAAUGAAAAAAUAGAACUCUCGUUGAACUCUUGUUGAUUGAAAUUCUUAAUGUUUACCCACAACUUGAGAUUCCACAACACUUUGCUGCUUUACAAACGUCACGUUUUAUUUAGAAAUCUGUUUACAAUUUAUGGAAAAUAAAGUAAUGCACUCACAAACUUUUCCUUUCACAAAAUUCGGAUUCCGUGAUUCUAUCUAUCAAAUAAAGAUGAUUAGCAGCGCGAGUUUAACAACGUAAAGUUUUAUAAAGGGAUCUUUAAAGGGUAGAUGAUUACGCGGCAACCGUGAAAUUCGUCCGAUCAGCAGAACGAAUCGAUUGAGACUAAAUACUAUCGGAGACACUUCGUUCGAUUUGUUUCAGCGACCAUCGCAAAAAGAACUUUGUGAAACCCUUUCUCAUUGGGGUCCGUCUCCGUUCUCUCCCUUCUUCUUACUUAAUGUCAAGUACGCAUAAAUUCCCAUCGAAUACUCGCGUCGGCCUCGAAUGUAUUAUUCUCGUGCGCGAGAUCGUCCUUCGAUCUCUCAGCCGUCCUGAUGCGACUGUGAUAAUGACAGACCGUACUAACGAACCACGCAAAAAAGCGGGUCGCCGCCGAUGUCAUUCGAUUUGUCAAAAAUGCUUUUAAUGACGCCGGCAUUAAUGAUGCUCGUAAUAAUCCAUUUCCGUAUGUUGUUAGGCUUCGGAUGGAUUUCCGUGUAUUUAUGCAGCGAGUUCUAAAUUAGUUUUGUUAGGCACGUGAAACGUGACUUAUGAAUGUUUUGACUUAAGAACGUUUUAAUGAGCUGAAAUUAUAUUUCUUUUCUGAAAGAUACAGGAUGAUUUUUAUUAUUUAAUGACAUAUAAAAUAAAAAAAUGAACAAAUUAAAAUGUAACAUUGUAAAGAAUAGUAUCCCUGAUUAGUCUUGCAGAGAUCUGAAUUUAGAAAAAUCCAAAUUUCAUAGAUUAAAGUUUAAGAAACGUACAUAUUUUAAUUAAAAAAAAUAUGAAAAUAUCAAUCGGUUAACAAAAGAUAAAUUGCAACAAGAUCAUGCGUCAGUUUAUACGAAAAAUUUAAGAUAUUAAAACAAGAAAUAGCAGUUAAGAUAUCGCUAUCUUCUAACAAUUAAAUAAGAUGAAUGAUAAGCACGUUUGAGCAUGUUUGAUCACAGUGCCUUAUCGAUAUCGAGACGAUUAUUUGACCUGGAUUAACAGCUCGAAAAAGAAUUUUUAUACCGAUUCCUCAUCUCACAUGAUGUCUUUACCUCACGGAAGAUUUUCUGCGAUUAAACUCGCACAGUAUAGUUACUUAAGAAUGCGAAUAAAUCAUUGCUGGAUUAAAAUGACCGUCUGACGAAUAUGCGAUAACCAUGUAUUCACUCCGAUUACUCCGGGACGAAACAAGCGUGAUCGUGUCCGGUCGUGUUUUGCAUAUGCUAAUCUUAUGCACAAUCUUGUACCAGGUAACAACACAAACUAUCAUUAACCAGAAAUGGGAGAAACAUUAAAAACAUCAUCAAUAGGACGCAUGUAGUGAUGAAGAUUUUUAGUCUUUACGAGCUUAUCCAUGAAUAUUCAAUAAUAUACAUGGCGAAUAAAGCAAUAUUUCUUACAUUCUUUUCUCAAAACAUGAUUCGAUGCUAUUUCUUACAAUUUUUGCUGUUUUACCAGCCAAUAUUUUCAUAAUUAUGCUUUGUAAGAAAUUCAUUUAAAAUUAAACAAAAAAUAAGUUUUUGUUAUCUAUUCACGGAAAACCUCUUUUUCCUACAAUUUAUCAUCACUGAUUGUAAAGGCUAUUCGUACCGAAAACUAGUUUUGAUUAAGAAGAUUCUUUUCAAAUUUUGAUAAACAAUAUUGCCACGUGUACAAACAGGCACUUAUUAGUUAUUACGAAACAUCGCAUCUACACAUUAAAUUUAAUUGCUUUUCCUGUCAUCGCGUGCAAGAAGGUUUGAUUAAUUUAUGUGAAUUCUAUUUGCUUCUUAGCAACAUUUUAAUCAAGAUCGAAACAAUACAAAAACGAAUUGAACGACAUCGUGAAAUAUAGAUCAUGUGUUACGGGGGAUAAUCGGACUCGCGGAACAAUCAUAAAUUGCCAUCAAUUGUGAGUCGACUACCAACGUGAUCCGCUAAUCGAAAUUUCCUGGCAGUUUGCUACGCGAGGAGUGUCAUUGUGGGACAUAAUGCGUGGGCACAGCGGACGUUUAUGUCGCGCGGUUCAUCUGGCUAUAUGAACUUCACUUCACGAGGACUGAAGCUACACUGGUGCUUUCCAGUAAAUCUAAUACGUUCAUAUAAGUCACACAAGAAGAGAGACAAGAGAAGAGGGGAGAAGAGAACGAGUAUAUGUGUAUGCUUCGGCAGACGCUCUCAUCGCAGUUGCGCAUCUUCGACCGCGCAGCACGUGCUACCAAUCGUGCUGAAUCUCGUGUGCUCUCGGCACUCAAGCAUCGUGAUCAAUAUCGAUAAGUAUUGAACGAAAUACAGACGAGAGACAAUGACAUGCUACAUAUAUUAUUAAUUCCAUCAGUUCUUCUGGGUAAUGCAGAAAAAUAUACUUUUCGAAAGUGUUUACGGCAGCAACCAAGUUGGCAACAUUUACAAUUUUUGAAAAAUUUAUUCUGUUAAUAUAAGCACUAUUCAAUCAUU
rnacentral:lncRNA from 1 species